UACGGAGGGUGCGAGCGUUAUUCGGAAUCACUGGGCGUAAAGCGUGCGCAGGCGGUGCUGUAAGACAGGCGUGAAAUCCCCGGGCUUAACCUGGAAUUGCGCUUGUGACUGCAGCGCUAGAGUGCGGCAGAGGGGGAUGGAAUUCCGCGUGUAGCAGUGAAAUGCGUAGAUAUGCGGAGGAACACCGAUGGCGAAGGCAGUCCCCUGGGCCUGCACUGACGCUCAUGCACGAAAGCGUGGGGAGCAAACAGG
rnacentral:rRNA from 1 species